GGAAAGUAUCUUGAAAGGUGUAUGUUGAUCAAAUAUCUGAAAGAAUAAGUAAAACUCAAAACACAAUGUGCAUCAUAUUACUAAUCCAGCAACUGAAGAAAAUUUAUUUACCUGUGAAUUCGCUGGAGAGAAGGAAGUGAACAUAGCUGUAUCUGCCGCUUUGGAAGCCCAAAAAUUGUGGAUGGUAAAAAGCGACCUAGAAAGAAUGCCGAUUUUAAAAAAAAGCUGCAGACUUCCUUGGUGAGAGAGACGAUCAGCUCGCUUUAAUGGAGUGCAUAAAUACAGGAAGACCAAUUCAGAAACUUUGAGAGUUGAUAUUGUUACUGCUCGAAGAUGUCUUGAAUAUUUUUCUGGAUUAUCAAAUACGAUAGCUCUUAAUGGGAGGCUGGUCGAUUUGCUUAAAGGAAAUUUUGGUUAUACUCGACGUGAGCCUCUAGGCGUUAUUGGUGCUAUCGGAGCCUGGAUUUAUCCUAUCCAAGGUUCCGUCUGGAAGUCUACACCGGCACUGGCCUGUGGUAAUUCCAUUAUUUUCAAACCGGCAGAAGAUACUCCUUCGACAGCCCUGAAACUCGCAGAAAUGCAAGGAAUUUUCAUUAGCCAGCUAUUCCACAAAAACAAUUUAUUUAUGAAAGCUACCUGGAAGCUGGCUUACCUCCUGGCUGCUUUAACGUUGUCUUGGGCGCAGCACAAACGGGACAACUACAUUGCCAACACAAGGAUAUUGCAGAAGCCACUUAAUUGGUUUUUAAUAAAGUUACAAGUCAAAAACUCUAGGAAAGCAAAUCAUAAAAAACAGUGCAGAUACCUUGAAGAGGGUCACGGUGGAGCUCGGGGGAAAGUCUCCUUUAAUAAUCUUUGAAGACACUGACCUGGAAGUGACGGUCUCUGCAGCAAUGCUAGCUAACUGGUUGGUUAACUUCGCCCUUCACACUUGCUUUUGCGCCUUUUUUUUUUAAAUACAGGUUUUCGGUGGGAGAAGUGUGUUCGAAUGGCACGCGCGUUUUUGUCACUCGAAAACUUCACUCAGCGUUUUCCGAGAGCUUUAAGCAGAGGACAGCUACAUUAAAAAUAGGAGAGCCCGAGGAUCUCGAGACGGAAGUCGGGGCCUUGAUCAACAGAAAGCACAUGGAAAAGUUUUAAACUACAUAGAAGAAGGAAAACGAGCAGGGAAACACUUUAGAUAGGCUUAGUAGUAGUCGUAUUAGGCGUCUCUAAUUUACACAGGAGCGACUCUAAUCUACGGUGGAGUGCGGGUAGCCUCUAAAGGUUGUUCUGCCGGUAACAAAACAAGUAUAAAAGCAGCGUUUACGGCUUCAGGAUGUUUCAUGGCCCCCGCCAUCUUCGACCACUGUACUGAUGCGAUGAAGAUUGUGCGAGAAGAAAUCUUUGGGCCCGUAGUAUGUGAGCGAUACAGAGCCCUUAGUUUAGAAAGUGGAAAAAGAGCUUUGAAACAAAAACUAAUGUUAGGCCUGCAUUUUGCCGUUUGAGACAGAAGACGAGGUGAUUCAAAGAGCUAACCACACGCCCUACGGACUUUCCGCGGGAGUGUUUACUCGAGACCUAUCGAGAGCCCACCAAGUUGCAAAACGGUUAAAAGCCGGAAAUGCUA